UGACGCUGGCGGCAGGCUUAACACAUGCAAGUCGAGCGGGGAGAUGUAGCUUGCUACAUUUCCUAGCGGCGGACGGGUGAGUAAUGCUUAGGAAUCUGCCUAUUAGUGGGGGACAACAUUCCGAAAGGAAUGCUAAUACCGCAUACGCCCUACGGGGGAAAGCAGGGGAUCUUCGGACCUUGCGCUAAUAGAUGAGCCUAAGUCAGAUUAGCUAGUUGGUGGGGUAAAGGCCUACCAAGGCGACGAUCUGUAGCGGGUCUGAGAGGAUGAUCCGCCACACUGGGACUGAGACACGGCCCAGACUCCUACGGGAGGCAGCAGUGGGGAAUAUUGGACAAUGGGCGAAAGCCUGAUCCAGCCAUGCCGCGUGUGUGAAGAAGGCCUUUUGGUUGUAAAGCACUUUAAGCGAGGAGGAGGCUACUUGGAUUAAUACUCUAGGAUAGUGGACGUUACUCGCAGAAUAAGCACCGGCUAACUCUGUGCCAGCAGCCGCGGUAAUACAGAGGGUGCGAGCGUUAAUCGGAUUUACUGGGCGUAAAGCGUGCGUAGGCGGCUUUUUAAGUCGGAUGUGAAAUCCCUGAGCUUAACUUAGGAAUUGCAUUCGAUACUGGGAAGCUAGAGUAUGGGAGAGGAUGGUAGAAUUCCAGGUGUAGCGGUGAAAUGCGUAGAGAUCUGGAGGAAUACCGAUGGCGAAGGCAGCCAUCUGGCCUAAUACUGACGCUGAGGUACGAAAGCAUGGGGAGCAAACAGGAUUAGAUACCCUGGUAGUCCAUGCCGUAAACGAUGUCUACUAGCCGUUGGGGCCUUUGAGGCUUUAGUGGCGCAGCUAACGCGAUAAGUAGACC
rnacentral:rRNA from 1 species